rnacentral:rRNA from 1 species
GGCCAGACUCCUACGGGAGGCAGCAGUGGGGAAUAUUGGGCAAUGGGCGAAAGCCUGACCCAGCAAUGCCGCGUGAAUGAAGAAGGUCUUAGGAUUGUAAAAUUCUGUCCUAUGGGAAGAAACAAAUGACGGUACCAUAGGAGGAAGCCCCGGCUAACUACGUGCCAGCAGCCGCGGUAAUACGUAGGAUGCGAGCGUUAUCCGGAUUUAUUGGGUUUAAAGGGUGCGUAGGCGGAAUGCCAAGUCAGCGGUAAAAUCGCGGGGCUCACCCUCGCUCCGCCGUUGAAACUGGCGUUCUUGAGUGGGCGAGAAGUGCGCGGAAUGCGUGGUGUAGCGGUGAAAUGCAUAGAUAUCACGCAGAACUCCGAUUGCGAAGGCAGCGCACCGGCGCCCUACUGACGCUCAGGCACGAAAGCGUGGGUAUCGAACAGGAUUAGAUACCCGGGUAUA